rnacentral:rRNA from 1 species
AACGAACGCUGGCGGCAGGCCUAACACAUGCAAGUCGAGCGAGACCUUCGGGUCUAGCGGCGGACGGGUUAGUAACGCGUGGGAACGUGCCCUUCUCUGCGGAAUAGCCACUGGAAACGGUGAAGUAAUACCGCAUACGCCCUUCGGGGGAAAGAUUUAUCGGAGAAGGAUCGGCCCGCGUUAGAUUAGAUAGUUGGUGGGUAACGGCCUACCAAGUCUACGAUCUAUAGCUGGUUUUAGAGGAUGAUCAGCAACACUGGGACUGAGACACGGCCCAGACUCCUACGGGAGGCAGCAGUGGGGAAUCUUAGACAAUGGGCGCAAGCCUGAUCUAGCCAUGCCGCGUGUGUGAUGAAGGUCUUAGGAUCGUAAAGCACUUUCGCCAGGGAUGAUAAUGACAGUACCUGGUAAAGAAACCCCGGCUAACUCCGUG